rnacentral:rRNA from 1 species
AAAGCCCGCUCGCCGGAAGACCAAGGGUUCCUGUCCAACGUUAAUCGGGGCAGGGUGAGUCGACCCCUAAGGCGAGGCCGAAAGGCGUAGUCGAUGGGAAACAGGUUAAUAUUCCUGUACUUGGUGUUACUGCGAAGGGGGGACGGAGAAGGCUAUGUUGGCCGGGCGACGGUUGUCCCGGUUUAAGCGUGUAGGCUGGUUUUCCAGGCAAAUCCGGAAAAUCAAGGCUGAGGCGUGAUGACGAGGCACUACGGUGCUGAAGCAACAAAUGCCCUGCUUCCAGGAAAAGCCUCUAAGCAUCAGGUAACAUCAAAUCGUACCCCAAACCGACACAGGUGGUCAGGUAGAGAAUACCAAGGCGCUUGAGAGAACUCGGGUGAAGGAACUAGGCAAAAUGGUGCCGUAACUUCGGGAGAAGGCACGCUGAUAUGUAGGUGAAGUCCCUCGCGGAUGGAGCUGAAAUCAGUCGAAGAUACCAGCUGGCUGCAACUGUUUAUUAAAAACACAGCACUGUGCAAACACGAAAGUGGACGUAUACGGUGUGACGCCUGCCCGGUGCCGGAAGGUUAAUUGAUGGGGUCAGCGCAAGCGAAGCUCUUGAUCGAAGCCCCGGUAAACGGCGGCCGUAACUAUAACGGUCCUAAGGUAGCGAAAUUCCUUGUCGGGUAAGUUCCGACCUGCACGAAUGGCGUAAUGAUGGCCAGGCUGUCUCCACCCGAGACUCAGUGAAAUUGAACUCGCUGUGAAGAUGCAGUGUACCCGCGGCAAGACGGAAAGACCCCGUGAACCUUUACUAUAGCUUGACACUGAACAUUGAGCCUUGAUGUGUAGGAUAGGUGGGAGGCUUUGAAGUGUGGACGCCAGUCUGCAUGGAGCCGACCUUGAAAUACCACCCUUUAAUGUUUGAUGUUCUAACGUGGACCCGUGAUCCGGGUUGCGGACAGUGUCUGGUGGGUAGUUUGACUGGGGCGGUCUCCUCCUAAAGAGUAACGGAGGAGCACGAAGGUUGGCUAAUCCUGGUCGGACAUCAGGAGGUUAGUGCAAUGGCAUAAGCCAGCUUGACUGCGAGCGUGACGGCGCGAGCAGGUGCGAAAGCAGGUCAUAGUGAUCCGGUGGUUCUGAAUGGAAGGGCCAUCGCUCAACGGAUAAAAGGUACUCCGGGGAUAACAGGCUGAUACCGCCCAAGAGUUCAUAUCGACGGCGGUGUUUGGCACCUCGAUGUCGGCUCAUCACAUCCUGGGGCUGAAGUAGGUCCCAAGGGUAUGGCUGUUCGCCAUUUAAAGUGGUACGCGAGCUGGGUUUAGAACGUCGUGAGACAGUUCGGUCCCUAUCUGCCGUGGGCGCUGGAGAACUGAGGGGGGCUGCUCCUAGUACGAGAGGACCGGAGUGGACGCAUCACUGGUGUUCGGGUUGUCAUGCCAAUGGCACUGCCCGGUAGCUAAAUGCGGAAGAGAUAAGUGCUGAAAGCAUCUAAGCACGAAACUUGCCCCGAGAUGAGUUCUCCCUGACCCUUUAAGGGUCCUGAAGGAACGUUGAAGACGACGACGUUGAUAGGCCGGGUGUGUAAGCGCAGCGAUGCGUUGAGCUAACCGGUACUAAUGAACCGUGAGGCUUAACCUUACAACGCCGAAGGUGUUU